rnacentral:rRNA from 1 species
GACGAACGCUGGCGGCGUGCUUAACACAUGCAAGUCGAACGGAAAGGCCCUGCUUUUGUGGGGUGCUCGAGUGGCGAACGGGUGAGUAACACGUGAGUAACCUGCCCUUGACUUUGGGAUAACUUCAGGAAACUGGGGCUAAUACCGGAUAGGAGCUCCUGCUGCAUGGUGGGGGUUGGAAAGUUUCGGCGGUUGGGGAUGGACUCGCGGCUUAUCAGCUUGUUGGUGGGGUAGUGGCUUACCAAGGCUUUGACGGGUAGCCGGCCUGAGAGGGUGACCGGGCAACUUGGGAGUUGAGAAGGGCCCCGCCCGCGAAGGGGGGGAGGAGGGGGGAAAUUUGCCAAAGGGGGGGGAGCCCGAAGGCAGCAACCCGGGGGGGGGGAGGCCGCCUUGGGGUUGGAAACCCGCUUUCCCCGGUAACGAGGGGGGGGUAGGGGAAAGGGAAAAAAAGACCCCGCCUAGCUCGGUC